rnacentral:rRNA from 1 species
ACCUCUGCAAUAGGCGAAAGCUUGACGGGGUUACUCUGAGUGAUGUCCGCUAAGGGCAUCUUUUGGCACUUCUAAAAAUAGUGUGGAAUAAGGGGUGGGCAAGUCUGGUGUCAGCCGCCGCGGUAAUACCAGCACCCCGAGUGGUCGGGACGAUUAUUGGGCCUAAAGCAUCCGUAGCCGGUUCUGCAAGUCUUCCGUUAAAUCCACCUGCUCAACAGAUGGGCUGCGGAGGAUACUACAGGGCUAGGAGGCGGGAGAGGCAAGCGGUACUCAGCGGGUAGGGGUAAAAUCCUCUGAUCCACUGAAGACCACCAGUGGCGAAGGCGGCUUGCCAGAACGCGCUCGACGGUGAGGGAUGAAAGCUGGGGGAGCAAACCGGAUUAGAUACCUGGGUAGUCCCAGCUGUAAACGAUGCAGACUCGGUGAUGGGUUGGCUUCGAGCCAACCCAGUGCCGCAGGGAAGCCGUUAAGUCUGCCGCCUGGGGAGUACGGUCGCAAGACUGAAACUUAA